rnacentral:lncRNA from 13 species
CCCCCCCCCCCCCCCCCCCCCCUUGCCUGUGUUGUGCAAUCGUUGUUAGUUUACACUACUGAACUAACUGAGAGCUGCAGGGAGAAGGGAGACUGGACAUCUCUAGCGUACUAAACUCAGGUGAGUCCCUCAGAUCUCUUUAGUGUGUUUCUCUACUGAUCUACCAGUCAUUCUACAGUUCUAACAUUAAUUCAUGGCUAAUUUGUCUAGUGGUUUAUGUGUUACAUGUGUUUUCAUUGUGUGUAAGAGAGUCCUGUUUUAGGGUUAGUUGGUGUGUUGAGCGAUGUUAUGUGGACUGUGCUAUGCAGACGUGUGCUGUGCUGUGUUCAGUAAAUCACUGUUCCCAGGUGUCACAUAAUCUGCUAGGCUGUUUCUGUCAUUAUCUACAACACUUUGCUGUUGGCUCUAUUGUUGUAUAUAUACUUGGUGCUUAUUAAAGGGAAAAUGAGUGGAUUUUCCCUUUAAAUUAACUCAAGCAGUUAGCAGUAGAAUCUAUUGAGUUAAAGUGUAUUGAAUUACAGGGUUAAUUGUUGUCUGACUAUGUUGUGAUGCUGUGGUCUCAAACUGAUCGCAUAAACACAUUGUUGCUUGUGAUUCUUAUCAUCAUAACACCUACAGUUAUAACACAUUGGACUUGUGUUGUAUUAUAGUUAGUAUUUUCACCUUUUUGUAAUUGACAUGUUUUUGACUACCUAUUUGAAUAAAUGCAUAGUGAAGCAUUGGUCAGGGCUGGUAAAGACACUAUUCAGCUUCAGUGUUUGAGGACCACAAUAGGCCUAAUGCUGUUGUUAACCUUCCAUUUUCAUUGAUCUCAACAUUCCUUUAUCUCCAUUUAGUGAUUGAAAGUGUUUCUACUUCAAGUGAUUCUAUUGGUUGUAGCAGUAUCCUUGCAGAAUGUCCAGAUUGUGAUGAAUUAUACAUUAAUGAAUAUUACCGUCUUUCAGGUUCUAAAAAAAGUAUGUUACCAUGGGGACCAAACGUCCCAGUCUGACUCCCUUUGAUACAUUUGAUCCAUCCAAUCAAAGCGCUUCCUACCGGAACCCUCAGCCAAUCAGCCAGAUCUACCGCGAAACAAGUCCCAGACCUGGAACUGUGGCCCGGACAGACCGAGACAGGGAGAGGAUCCAAGAGGAGGAAUGGAGGAGAGAAAGAGAAAUGGAGAGAUUGAAGGACAAAACAAGAAAUAGAAGAAAAGAGAUGGAACCCGGACCAAGAGAGAGGAACAGAGAGAAGGAGUGUGCCCUCAUAUCCAGAGGGAGGGAGGAGGAAAGGGAAUGGAGAGAGAGAGAAAGGGGGGGAGCGGGAGAGAGACGUGCCAAUGGAAGACCUACUUCAAAUCUGGAGAUCAGGAACCACAGAGACAGAGAAAAGGAGAGAAAGAAAGGAGACACGUUUCCUAGAAUGGUAAAACAUAGCAAAGAGAGAGACAGAAGAAUACGUGCAUUUGUGGAGGAAGAUGUGGGGAAAGAAGGAAUGAAACAAUUGGAGAGACCGAAGGGAACAGAGAUGGACGACUGGGAGAGAGAACGAGAGACAGCAGCAAAGAUACAGCGGUAUCGAGAUGCAGAGAGGGACUUCCAAAGGCACAGAGAGAGGGAGAGGGAGAAGGAGAGAAUCGGGGCACAGGAGGACAGAGAGAGAAAUGGAGGAAAGCCCAUGGAGGAUAAGACAGUGAGACGGAGGGAGAGAGCGAGGGAAGCGGAGCCAGAUUUCAGAGAGAGGAGAAGAGAGAGGGACUCAAAGGGUAAUGACCUACGGAGCAAAAGAGAGAGGUAUAUGGAUGGAGAGAGAGAGAGGUCAAAACUCUGGCAGGGAGAAAGAGAGGAUGGAAGAAGAGAGGGAGAUUCACAGAACUAUUCCGAUAGAGAGGGCAGGGAUGGAAGGAGGGAAGGAAAUACAGAGGGACAGAGGGACACCAGGAGUGAGGGAGACAGUGAUGGAGAGAAGAGGAAAGAGAGAGUGAGAGAUGACAACAGAAGAGAACUGAAACAUCUGCACAGUAAAAGUGAGGGGGACACUGAGGGGAACGCAGCAUGGGAUAGAGUGAGGGAGAAAGAGAAGGAGAGACAGAAAUGGAGAGGGGGGGAGAUAUACAGAGAGAGGGAUGGAAGGAGAGAUGCUUAUAGACAGAGAGUUAGGGAAGGGGACAGGGAUGGAAAGAGUGACAUGGAGAGAUACAGAGAGAGGGACAGGAGAAAAGUGAGGGAAGUGGAGAGAGAGAGGGAUGAGGUGAGAGAAGGGGGCAGGCGAGAGGACAGACCAAGGGAAAGGAGGGACCUAGAGAAAGUGAGGGUGGGAACACAGCCCAAUGUAACUGGAGAGAGAAGGAAGCGGAUGGAUGGAGAGAGAUUCAGAGAGAGGGAGAGAUAUUCCAAGGGGGAGGAUGAAGAGAGGAGGCGCAGGGAGAAGAGGGACAGAGAGACAGAUCUCAAAAGGGAGGGAGGAGCAGACGGAGCUAGUCGAUCGCUGAGCGAGACAGCCCCAAGGGUGCCACCACGAGUCCAGAGCAGCGGAGAAUGGAGCAGUGACAUAGAGAAGGAAAGAAAAUGGAGAAGAGGAAGAGAAAGUCAUGAAGAGAAGGAGUCAGAGGGAGAGAAGGAUGUGGACAGGGGGCAGAGAGACUGUAGUGAAAGAGAGAGACCAGAUAGAGUGAGGGGGAGAGAAGAAGGAAAGGAAGAGACGAUACCAAAGCGCCCUGAGCAGAGGAGGAUGUGGUUAUUACCACAGAGGGUCAGAUAUAACAAAGACUCCUCUUUAGAGGAUGAGGUUAUAGAGCGAGAAAGAGAUAGGCACACUAACAGAUGGAGAGAGAGAAGUGAAGAAGAGGACAGAUCCGUGGAACAAAGGACAGGCAGAGAAAAAGAGAGGAAGACAGAGGGAGAAGGACAAGAGGACAGAUCCGUGGAACAAAGGACAGGCAGAGAAAAAGAGAGGAAGACAGAGGGAGAAGGACAAGAGGACAGAUCCGUGGAACAAAGGACAGGCAGAGAAAAAGAGAGGAAGACAGAGGGAGAAGGACAAGAGGAUAGGCCGGUGGAACAAAGAAAGUCCAUAGACGAAGAGAGAGAAGCUGAGAGGGAGGGAGGGAGGGAGAGGUAUUUGGAGAGAGGGUUAAAUGUAGAUGAAGACGAUGAGACAGAAGCCUGGAGGAGUUAUAGCAGAGGAGAGGAACACCAGACUUACAGCGAUGGAGAGAGAGAGGAACGCUGGCAGAGGGACAGGGAGACGGAGAGAGAGAAUGUGACAGAUAACACAGAAGGUGACAGUGAGGAAGAAGGAGGAAGUGAUAGAUAUACACUCUUCGAGAGCGAUGGAGGAAGUGAUAGAGAGUGGGAAGGAGGGAGGGAUAGAAUCGCUUCCUCUGAGGACGGCUUUAUCACUGUGUCCAGUGGUGGAGAAGAGGAGUUUGAGGACUGCAAGGAAUUCUUGGAAGUUGGGGUUGCUAUUCAUGUUACCAGGCAACCUGUUAGCUUUCAGGGGAGCGAGGGAGAGAUGAAGAGAGGUGGAGGGAGAAGACAUGAAAGAGAGAGAGAAAGAACAGAAGAGAGGACAGAGCAAAAGGAUGAUGCAGUGGUGGGAGAGGUGAAUGAUGGAAAGGGGAAGAAGCAACCAACCUAUGUAUUCUGUGUGAUUGGGCAAACACUGCCCAGGUCAAAACCCAAUCAGACAGCAGUCUUGGGUGACAUGGAAUCAGAGCGGACCAAUCAAAAUCCUGGAUAUGGUCAUAGGGACAGUGAUGACAUCACACACCUCCCUCAUGAGAACCCUUCCAGAGAUGGAGACCAAGGGGCAGAGGAUGAGAGAAAAAUAGUGAGGGAUGAGAUCCAUGUGCCAAAGGAGGAGAGAACAGACACAGAAGAGAGCUCCAUAGUGGACGUCAGUCACACCACCCUAGAACGAGAGAGCGGAGAACGACUGAAGGUCAUGGAGGAGAACCCAUACGCUGAGAUAGAGCGAAGGAGGAACUCUGAGACCGAAAAACUCCUCAAAGAGUGGAGAGAAAGACAUGAAGAGUACACAGAAACAAGAGAGAGGGACCCAACAGACAGGAGGAGGACAGAACCAGAGAUAGGUCCAUCUUCACAUCCCAGUGGAGAGUACCACCACCAUGGGAUCCCUGUAGUUGACCAAGCCACCUCUGACCAAAAUGACCCUGGAGUGAUGAGCCCAGAGGAAGCUGUGGCCAUCCAAAUCUGUAUAAGUGAAGCCUGGAGCACAGAAGAGGAGGCCAAGCGCCACUCCCAGCCCUCACACAUGAAGUGGGCCAAGAACGUAUUGAGCGAAAUCCUUGGCAGCUCGGAGGAACCAGCCCUCAGCAACCCCCAGCCAGAGUCACAGGGAAGUCAAGAGGUCAGCCAGACUGCGAGAGGGACCGAGAGGGUAGAAGAGGAGCUAGAGGAAGAAAAGGAUGAGACGCUAGAGGGGGGAGGAGCCUCAACCGUCUACGCCACGGUUCAGAAGAGGAAGAAGCGUGGGAGGAAGUCGGUGGAGGAGAGGCUGGUUGAACGGGAGGCAGAGCCAGGGAAGCUGGAGGAUGAGAGAGGUACAGGGGAGAAACUAACAGACGUGCAUGCUGAGGCUUUCACAGCUAUGCUUGGUGAUGGCAAACCCAUAGACAUGCAUGCUGCUCUGACCCUACACAAUACUCAUGGUGACACACCUACAGACACACAGGGAGAGGAGGUGGAGGGUAACAAUGUGUGUGCGGACAGACAAACAGACAGUCAUAUACAUAUCCAGGUAGAGAUGGUGACAGAGGAUGAGGGUGAGAUGGAGAAAGGGGUCGAAGUUGGGGACGAGGUUCAUAUACUGGAUGCAGAGAAAGAAGCGAAUUCCCAGAAAGAGGAAGAUCUGUUUCUCUCUGUGAGCAACACCCUGUACAAACCAACCAGCUGCCCCAGCCUUAUAUACAACCCUGAUUCAGAACAACCUAUCACCACCACAGAGGAAAAGACGGAGGAAGAAGGGGAGAAAGAGAGGACUGUGGGAGAUGGGGAAGAGAAUAGUGUGGUAGAGAGGAAGCAGGAAAGAAGGAUCGAGGAUGGGACCGAGGACAUUGGGAAAGUGGGAGAGGCGACUGAGGAAAGGAAAGUGGAAAGGGAGGAGGAGAAGAGGGUAGGAGGGGAAGAGGAGAGGAUGAGGGAGGGCAAGGAAGAGAGUAAAAAAACGGGAGGAGGGGGGGUGAAGAGCACUUGUAGCUUCCAAGAUUUGGGCACCGAUGUUCGGUAUAGGAGGCGGGGGUUCCGCAAGACAACAGAAAGAAGAAACGAGGAAGAAGAAGAAGGAAGAGGAGAUGCGAGGGAUCGCAGAACAAGAAUAUUCCAGGCGUCAGAUGAUGAUGAUGAGGAGGAGGAGGUGAACUUCAACUGGGGAGAUGUGGAUCUGAGGAAUGUCACGGAUACCAUCAGAAUGGCUAGGAGGAACUCCAAAUUUUACAGUGAGUAUCUCUGCUUUACCUCUACUGCACUACUUCUACUGCACUACUUCUACUGCACUACCUCUACUGCUCUACUUCUACUGCUCUACUUCUACUGCACUACCUCUUCUUCUACUGCACUACCUCUUCCUCUACUGCACUACCUCUACCUCUACUGCACUACCUCUACUUCUACUGCACUACCUCUACUGCACUACCUCUACUUCUACUGCACUACCUCUACCUCUACUGCACUACCUCUACCUCUACUGCACUACCUCUACUUCUACUGCACUACCUCUUCUUCUACUGC